UUUAACUGAUUAGGCAAUUAUUUCAAUGGUACCCACAAACGCGGUGGUAGUUACAUGGUCUGCCACGGUGAGGAGGAGGAUGAUAAGACAGUUGGAUUUGGGAUUUAUCUUGAAAUUAGACUCAGUACAUUUUUUUGAAGAUUGGCUGUCAGAUAUUAGAGAAAAGGCAGAUAAGAAUGACUCCAAGAUUUGUUUCUGGAAGAACCAGAAAAUGAAACAAAUUGAACGUAGCCAAAUAAGAGGGCCCUUUAGUGGCAGAGAGAGCAGUUUGAACCUGCUCCUGUGAGCAUGAUGGAGCCGGUGGAGGUUGUUGGGUAGGACAAAAGCAUGAUGUAAAAGAUGCUCUCGGACAAGUUGCCCUGAAAGACAAGGUGGGAGUGAGGAGACAGACCUACUCUAGCUCCAUCUUGUGCCUCCUCGUUCCUUCUUUGGUCAUUUGUUAUACCUCUUAUUCAUACAAGGAACAGGAGCCUUUACCCCCACCCCAGAGGAAAGCAAUCCAUCUCCUGAUGGGUCUGUUCAUUCGACUAUCCUAUUCUUGGAAAUACAUGCAAAGGAAAUGAAAUCUGCAUAUGAGGAAGUGACCUGCAAUCCUACAUUUACAGCCGCAGAGUCUACAAUAGCAAAGACAUGUGCUAAGUGCCAAGUGCUUGUGCUGAGUCAACUGAAAAUUGACCCAGCUAGCUCACUGCCUGCAGUAUACCCAAAAGAAGUGAAAUCGGCACAUGAGAAAAUGACCUGCAAUCCUAUAUUCCCAGCAGCACAAUCCGUAACAGUGAAGACAUGGAAACAACCCAGAUCUAGCCACGAGGCUAUCACACUGAGCCCAGAGUAUUGGUUUUUCAAUGCUGCAGAAUUUGACAAUACAGUUGCAUUUUUUAAUUAUAAUAAAUGUGAACUAAGUUAUUUAACUGUUUCUGACAUACUGCCCCAUGUUAAUAGUUUAUCAUGUAUAGCUAAAAAUAUUAUUUUUGAGAGCUCAUGUUGUUUCAUAACAUAAUAGACAUUUAGAAAAUAUUGAUAUUAAUGAGAUGAUUGAUAAUUUUAUGUAUCAGGAAAUGUGCGAAAUACUAAGCCAAAUGCUAAGCAUAUAUAUGACAGAAGCAUUGUAAUUUUAUCUGUUGGAUUAGAGUGUUUUUAAUUUCAACUUACUUAGUUUUCUGACUCCAAAAUCAGAGGAACUAGCAUGCAUACAGAAGCCACUCAGUAACCUAGUCAGAACUAUGUGUUGAAACUACAAAAAGAUGAAAUCAGUAAAUAUAAUCUUCAUUUUCCUCUUUUGUCUUACUAUGCCUGACUUAUUUCCUUGUUUCCAUGUUACAAUUAAGUCUUUUCUGCAAUCUUUUUAAAAGACACAGUUAAAAGAAUAGUGUUGCCACACAUGUUCUUGACUUGAAUGUGCAUUCCACAUUAUAAUAUUUUUACCCAGUGGGAAUGGUGCUGUGUCCCUAUUAUGUGUUAUACAUUCCUGGAAUGAAAAUAAAAACUUAUAAAUCAAUCUCAGCUGUUUUAUUACACUCUUGCUAAACCACUACUUAUUUUGUAUGCUUCAUUUUUAAAAUCUGUGACUCCUUAAGUACCAAGUCUAGACUUGUUUUAGGAUGUUAAAUGUAUUACAAUUUCCACCCUUCCCUGAAGCAUUUUGAAAUGAGAAAUAGUUCUGCACAUGAAAG